rnacentral:rRNA from 1 species
GAUGAACGCUGGCGGCGUGCUUAACACAUGCAAGUCGAACGAAGUGGCGGACGGGUGAGUAACGCGUGGGUAACCUGCCUCAUACAGGGGGAUAACAGUUAGAAAUGACUGCUAAUACCGCAUAGUAUGAGAUGGACCCGCGUCUGAUUAGGUAGUUGGUGGGGUAACGGCCUACCAAGCCGACGAUCAGUAGCCGACCUGAGAGGGUGACCGGCCACAUUGGGACUGAGACACGGCCCAAACUCCUACGGGAGGCAGCAGUGGGGAAUAUUGCACAAUGGGGGAAACCCUGAUGCAGCGACGCCGCGUGAGCGAUGAAGUAUUUCGGUAUGUAAAGCUCUAUCAGCAGGGAAGCGGUACCUGACUAAGAAGCACCGGCUAAAUACGUGCCAGCAGCCGCGGUAAUACGUAUGGUGCAAGCGUUAUCCGGAUUUACUGGGUGUAAAGGGAGCGUAGACGGAGUGGCAAGUCUGAUGUGAAAACCCGGGGCUCAACCCCGGGACUGCAUU